rnacentral:lncRNA from 11 species
CUUAAAGAUAAAUCUUAAUCUGAAAAGCAGUGGAGUUGAUACAAUGCUUACCUACAGGGACUGCAUUCACGGCCAGUGAACUUUGGGGAUCAUGCUCUAAUUUCAUAUCAGAGUUUCUACUAGCAACCAGAACAAUGCCCCAGUAUCCAUGUGUUCUUAUCACCAGACAGACAUUCAAGGAGAUCUCUUUUCUUAUGUAAUCACCCAUGUGCUAGCACUUUCAUGAGUAACCCAGCCGGAAAAAUCACCGGUGGUGGAGGGGGGAGGAGGCAAUUUGGGCAGUGGAUGUAGAAAGAAAGUCAGUCCUUUAAGAGAGCUGCACAUAACUCUUACUUAAUGAUGACUGAGUUUCAAGGUGAAACAAAAGAGGUAAAAUAUCAAUUUAAGGGGACAUUUUAGUGGAGUUUUGAAUAUGUAAGCUUCUGCUCUCUUCAUUGGGCAGAAUGAAAUAAGACAACAAAAUUUACAUAUGUUGGAUGACUGGAGAACAUAUGUAUUAUAAGGCAGGAAAACAAUCUUAUUGACAGAUACAUUUCCAUAAUGGAAAUAGAACAAUACUGAGCCUUAAAACCAACUGAGUAACCUUGGACAAAUCAUACAUAUUUGUUACGAGGAGAAGAGAAGAUGAAGGGAGCCAUGUACGCCAACUCAAUCUCAUUGGAGAAAAGACAGGAUAUUAAGAGCAAAGCCAAAUUACCCCCAGUUUACUUCACCACAAGAACUGGAAAUCUCUGGACAUCAUGCAGACAUCCAAGAGUGACUUCUCAUUCUCUGAGAACUAUUCAAGAAGUGUGGACAAACUGA